AGUGAACGCUGGCGGUAGGCCUAACACAUGCAAGUCGAACGGCAGCACAGUAAGAGCUUGCUCUUACGGGUGGCGAGUGGCGGACGGGUGAGGUAUACAUCGGAAUCUACUUUUUCGUGGGGGAUAACGUAGGGAAACUUACGCUAAUACCGCAUACGACCUACGGGUGAAAGAAGGGGAUCUUCGGACCUUGCGCGAUUGAAUGCGCCGAUGUCGGAUUAGCUAGUUGGCGGGGUAAAGGCCCACCAAGGCGACGAUCCGUAGCUGGUCUGAGAGGAUGAUCAGCCACACUGGAACUGAGACACGGGCCAGACUCCUACGGGAGGCAGCAGUGGGGAAUAUUGGACAAUGGGCGCAAGCCUGAUCCAGCCAUACCGCGUGGGUGAAGAAGGCCUUCGGGUUGUAAAGCCCUUUUGUUGGGAAAGAAAAGCAGCAGGUUAAUACCCCGCUGUUCUGACGGUACCCAAAGAAUAAGCACCGGCUAACUUCGUG
rnacentral:rRNA from 1 species